rnacentral:rRNA from 1 species
GAUGAACGCUGGCGGCGUGCCUAAUACAUGCAAGUCGAGCGAACAGACGAGGAGCUUGCUCCUCUGACGUUAGCGGCGGACGGGUGAGUAACACGUGGAUAACCUACCUAUAAGACUGGGAUAACUUCGGGAAACCGGAGCUAAUACCGGAUAAUAUAUUGAACCGCAUGGUUCAAUAGUGAAAGACGGUUUUGCUGUCACUUAUAGAUGGAUCCGCGCCGCAUUAGCUAGUUGGUAAGGUAACGGCUUACCAAGGCAACGAUGCGUAGCCGACCUGAGAGGGUGGUCGGCCACACUGGAGCUGAGACACGGUCCAGACGCCUACGGGAGGCAGCAGUAGGGAAUCUUCCGCAAUGGGCGAAAGCCUGACGGAGCAACGCCGCGUGAGUGAUGAAGGUCUUCGGAUCGUAAAGCUCUGUUAUUAGGGAAGAACAAAUGUGUAAGUAACUAUGCACGUCUUGACGGUACCGAAUCAGAAAGCCACGGCUAACUACGUG